rnacentral:lncRNA from 1 species
UGAGGAGCCAGGGACUGGCUGAACUGUCUAUUGACCCAAGCUGCAGGCCAGCCCACUUAGAAAUUAGUGGUGUCUUAGAAAAGAAAAGAAAAAAAAAAACCUUGAAGAAUGAUAUAUUUAAAGUUUUGCAGAGAAAAUCUGGCAAUAAAUAGUACUACACAUGAUAAGACUGUCUUUCAGAAAGAAUGGUAAGGAGAAUUCUUUCCUAGACAAAUACAAGAUAUAGGCAUUCAAAAAACUACAACUCAAAAAUCUCUAAUAAAGAAAUUGUGUUACAUAAAUAAGUAACUUAAAUUUCUUCAGUAAUUUCAGAGACAAAGUAUUAUCUUGUAUAAAUUAAUAAUUCUCAUAAAAAUUCAGAGACAACGUAUUAAAAACCAGUAUUGCUGGCUAUAAUAAUGGACAUCCACUAUGGAGGCUCUGAGAGGCACAGAUUGUGAGUGGAGAAACUGAGGCCUGGUGUCCUUGUGGUGUGUUAUUAACUUAACUAGACUGGACUGUGGAUGCUGUAAAUUACACAGGCCCCAGAGUAAGCAGGAACCAUGUAGUGGAUACACAAAGGGUAGGGACAGAGGAGUCAAAGCGCAUCACUGUCGGCGAGUGACUGUGUCGUAGAGGCCAGAACAAGAGGAGGAAAGCAAAAGGGCCAACAUAACGCAAUGAAAGAUGGCAGUAAGUCAAUGGAUUCAGUUCUGUAAUCAUGUCCAGUUAUAGAGUUGCUGUAUGGAUUCCCCAGAACAAAACCCCACUCCAGCAGCUCUGCCUUAGCCACACAGCCCAAGAGACCAGUGGAUGCCCUGAAACCACUGGGGUGCUAAACCUGAUUUUCUUUUAUACAUGUGAGUUUAUGAUAGUUCAAUUUAUAAGGUAGGUAUAGGAAAUUAAUAGUAAUAGCUAUAAUAGAAUAACUAUAAUUAUGCUGUAAUAAAAGUUCUGACUAAUAGCCUGAACUUACAGAACUAUAAUUUACCAUAAUAAAGUUCUGUGUAUGUGGAUUUCUUCCAAGGACCUCAGGGUGUACUCCUCUUCUCGUGCCGAGGUGUGACCUGGUACCUCCGUGAUGAGAUGGAGCGAAGUGAAACAUGGCUGUUGUGUUGCUGUGGCAGGUGCUGAUGGCCUUGGAUAUAUGUCAUAAGGAUUGUGCACUUCAGAUGAUCCUGGCUACUCAGUCAUGAUGAUCUAGGUGGUGGGUGUUGAGUUGAGUCAGUUGCGGAUAAUUGAGGCAGCAGAAAGUCAAACUGGAGCUAAGGAAAGACCGCUGUCGGUGCUGCCUACCAGACAUGGAUCUUAGCCAGAUACCCCUCUGAAAAUGAAUGGGUAGCAAAAGAAGUACCACGCAAAGUAGCAACCAAAGGUUAGGUCAGACAAAUGAGAGUUUAUGUCGCAAACUCAUGAGGUGCACAGGUCAUGUAUAAUAACAGGAAGUUGGUAAGCCUUUAUCCAUGGAGUAGUUGUAAAUAUACACUCCCUAGCCUACCUAUGUACAUGAAGCAGAUAUUAGAACUGAGGGAAGAAAUAUUUAGCAAUAUAUAUACAAUAGUAGGAGAGCUCGGCUCUCUAUUUUCAAUAAUAGAUCAUUGAGACAGAAAAUCAAUAAAGGAACAACAGGCGUGGACAGCCAUGUCAGCCCAGCAGAUCUCAGCGACGAGUCUGGAAGAGCCUGUCCAGCAGCAGGUGCACAGUGCACAUGAAGCAUCUCCAGAUCAGAUAAUGUAUUCUGCCAUAAAACAAGAAUUGACACUUUUAAGAAACCAUCUUCUUUACCACAAUGAUGCAAAUGCAGAAAUACCUGUGAUGAGAGGCAGACUGUAAAAUGCAUAUAUACUGGAAUUUCAGAAUGCCUCAAAAAUUAGUUUCUUAAAAAAUGAAAUAAAAAGGAACUAAAAACAUUUAGAGAAAUGAAAAUGGAAACAAUGGUGCCAGAACUUUUGAGGUUCAGCUAAAGCGCCUCGCAGAGGGGGGUUCAUAAUAACGGGUGCUCAGGACAAGCUGGGAGACCACACAUAAACAACCUGAGUUAAUAUCUCAAGACUCCAGGAGAAAAGGAAAAAACAAAUUUCAAGCUAGUAGAAAGAAGGAAGGAGCAAAGAACAGAGGAGAAAGAAGUGAAAUGGACACCAGAAGGAAGAUAGGAAGCGUGUGCAAAGCUAAGAUUUCAGUCAUUUGAAAAGUUCAGCAAAAUUAACAAGUGUUUAUUUAGCUGGACU